rnacentral:siRNA from 1 species
AAUCGUCAAUCCAUCAGAUGA